AACGAACGCUGGCGGCAUGGAUUAGGCAUGCAAGUUGAACGAACCACUUCGGUGGAGAGUAGCGGAAGGGUGAGGAACGCGUGAGUAAUCUGCCCCCAACGUUGGGAAAUAAACAGCUGGAAAACGGCUGCUAAUACCGAAUGUGGCUUUAUCUCUGCACGGAGGUUUGGCUAAAGAUUUAUCGCUUGGGGAUGAGCUCGCGUCCCAUUAGGUAGUUGGUGAGGUAACGGCCCACC
rnacentral:rRNA from 1 species